UUAACCUCAUGUUGCUCUGUCAUGAGAGCCUGCUGAGAUUUCUGAGUCGAGAAAACGUCCAGUCAUGGUUAGUAUAAGCAUGUGGUACUACCUCAACAUUUUCACUUCCCUUCUGGAAUCCAGUGACUCAGAUGGGAAGGAGAACCUAUAUAAAUGAAGUGAGGCGGUCAGGGAAGUCAAAGCCACAGUGAGCGCCGGGAACACAAGACAGGACAUCUGCAGCACAAGAUGGAGUCCAUGAAAAGCAAACCAAGAGAAGCCACUGGCAGUGAUCUGUCUGAGCAGAUAAAAGCAGCCACCAAAGACAGUCACGUUCGAGCUGAGAACACACAACUGAUGCUCAACUACCAGAAAGGACAGAUCACGCAAACACAG